rfam:Puccinia graminis f. sp. tritici CRL 75-36-700-3 supercont2.2 genomic scaffold, whole genome shotgun sequence.
AGCGAGAUGGCGCAGCUGGUAGCGUGCUGGGCUCAUACUGCAUUGCAUUGGAACCCAGAGGUCGUCGGAUCGAAACUGACUCUCGCUA